rnacentral:rRNA from 1 species
AGAGUUUGAUCCUGGCUCAGAACGAACGCUGGCGGCGUGGAUAAGACAUGCAAGUCGAACGGGAGAAUUGCUAGCUUGCUAAUAAUUCUCUAGUGGCGCACGGGUGAGUAACACGUGAGUAACCUGCCUCUUAGUGGGGGAUAGCCCUGGGAAACCGGGAUUAAUACCGCAUACGAUUGAAAGAUCAAAGCAGCAAUGCGCUAGGAGAUGGGCUCGCGGCCUAUUAGUUAGUUGGUGAGGUAACGGCUCACCAAGGCGAUGACGGGUAGCCGGUCUGAGAGGAUGUCCGGCCACACUGGAACUGAGACACGGUCCAGACACCUACGGGUGGCAGCAGUCGAGAAUCAUUCACAAUGGGGGCAACCCUGAUGGUGCGACGCCGCGUGGGGGAAUGAAGGUCUUCGGAUUGUAAACCCCUGUCAUGUGGGAGCAAAUUAAAAAGAUAGUACCACAAGAGGAAGAGACGGCUAACUCUGUGCCAGCAGCCGCGGUAAUACAGAGGUCUCAAGCGUUGUUCGGAAUCACUGGGCGUAAAGCGUGCGUAGGCUGUUUCGUAAGUCGUGUGUGAAAGGCAGGGGCUCAACCCCUGGAUUGCACAUGAUACUGCGAGACUAGAGUAAUGGAGGGGGAACCGGAAUUCUCGGUGUAGCAGUGAAAUGCGUAGAUAUCGAGAGGAACACUCGUGGCGAAGGCGGGUUCCUGGACAUUAACUGACGCUGAGGCACGAAGGCCAGGGGAGCGAAAGGGAUUAGAUACCCCUGUAGUCCUGGCAGUAAACGGUGCACGCUUGGUGUGCGGGGAAUCGACCCCCUGCGUGCCGGAGCUAACGCGUUAAGCGUGCCGCCUGGGGAGUACGGUCGCAAGAUUAAAACUCAAAGAAAUUGACGGGGACCCGCACAAGCGGUGGAGUAUGUGGCUUAAUUCGAUGCAACGCGAAGAACCUUACCUGGGCUUGACAUGUAAUGAACAACAUGUGAAAGCAUGCGACUCUUCGGAGGCGUUACACAGGUGCUGCAUGGCCGUCGUCAGCUCGUGUCGUGAGAUGUUUGGUUAAGUCCAGCAACGAGCGCAACCCCUGUUGCCAGUUACCAGCACGUCAAGGUGGGGACUCUGGCGAGACUGCCCAGAUCAACUGGGAGGAAGGUGGGGACGACGUCAGGUCAGUAUGGCCCUUAUGCCCAGGGCUGCACACGUACUACAAUGCCCAGUACAGAGGGGGCCGAAGCCGCGAGGCGGAGGAAAUCCUGAAAACUGGGCCCAGUUCGGACUGUAGGCUGCAACCCGCCUACACGAAGCCGGAAUCGCUAGUAAUGGCGCAUCAGCUACGGCGCCGUGAAUACGUUCCCGGGUCUUGCACACACCGCCCGUCA